rnacentral:ncRNA from 1 species
GAAAUGACGAUGAACGGAACAGUAGUUACAGUCUGAGAUAGUUUCAGAGAACUGGAUUUGGUGUGAACCAGUACUAUCUGCUGUCAUGAAUAUCCUCCGUGAGUUGCACACCGAAGAAUGUAGUAGGCUGUGCCGGGCCUCGAUUGAGGAAACGCCACCCGUUAUUGUGGCGAGGUAUCGAGUGUAAACUCCGUACCGUUGAGAGACUAUGGGCAACUAUAGUAAUUUGGGUGGUAGCGCGGAUUAAUCUCCGUCCCUUGU